GCAUCGAUGAAGAACGCAGCGAAAUGCGAUAAGUAAUGUGAAUUGCAGAAUUCAGUGAAUCAUCGAAUCUUUGAACGCACCUUGCGCUCCAUGGUAUUCCGUGGAGCAUGCCUGUUUGAGUGUCAUGAAUACUUCAACCCUCCUCUUUCUUAAUGAUUGAAGAGGUGUUUGGUUUCUGAGCGCUGCUGGCCUUUACGGUCUAGCUCGUUCGUAAUGCAUUAGCAUCCGCAAUCGAACUUCGGAUUGACUAGGCGUAAUAGAUUAUUCGCUGAGGAAUUCUAGUAUUCGGAUUAGAGCCGGGUUGGGUUAAAGGAAGAUUGUAAUCAGAACCCCACAUUCUAAGAUUAGAUCUCAAAUCAGGUAGGAAUACCCGCUGAACUUAAGCAUAUCAAUAAGCGGAGGA
rnacentral:rRNA from 1 species